GAUCCUGGCUCAGAUUGAACGCUGGCGGCAGGCUUAACACAUGCAAGUCGAACGGUAGCAGGUAAGUACUUGUACUUAUGCUGACGAGUGGCGGACGGGUGAGUAAUGCUUGGGGAUCUGGCUUAUGGAGGGGGAUAACGACGGGAAACUGUCGCUAAUACCGCGUAGAAUCGAGAGAUGAAAGUGUGGGACCUUCGGGCCACAUGCCAUAGGAUGAACCCAAGUGGGAUUAGGUAGUUGGUAGGGUAA
rnacentral:rRNA from 1 species